ACCAUCUUUCCAAUGGUUCACCGUUCUGGGCAGAAACAGGCUCCUGUGAAUCGAGGGGCGCGAACCAGAAGGACUUCGAGGACAGAGGACCAACUCCCACCUUCUGCGUAAGCCGUGCUCUCCUUCGCGGCUUAGCAGCGCUCCCUGACGCACGCUUCUCCCGGCCUCAGCACCAGUGGUUCCCAUGGCGACGCCUGCACCGAUGAGUGGAGGUUCCCCGCUGUCUAGCCAUCUGCUGGAGGAUCUUGGAUCCCGGAACUCUAACUCUACAGGAGUUAGUGUCCUGGGAUCUGGAAACAGCAGUUUCCUCAGGAGGCUCCUGUGGCCUUGGGCUCCGCGCCUCACCGCUCUUGGCCUUCCUCUUAUUAGGCCUUGAUUUCAUUUGAUGAUGUGGCUGUGACCUUCACUGUGGAGGAAUGGGAAGAUCUGGACCUGGCUCAGAGGACCCUGUACCAGGAAGUGAUGAUGGAGACCUU
rnacentral:lncRNA from 1 species